GAAUAUACUGUCUCCUAAUUAACAAUGUUAGUGGUCAGCAAGUCCAUAGCUUGAAUCGGCUGCUUGAAUACUGUCUAGUUUUGAUGAAGAUUGUAAGAGCGGGUUUGAUUUAUAGACUUAAGGGGAUACGUUGGGGUGUGCUAUUGUGUGUAUAUUGGUAUGAUCCUUGUUUCAAAUACCUUUAUGUUCAUAUGAUUCAUG
rnacentral:lncRNA from 1 species